GAUGAACGCUGGCGGCGUGCCUAAUACAUGCAAGUCGAGCGAACGGAUGAGAAGCUUGCUUCUCUGAUGUUAGCGGCGGACGGGUGAGUAACACGUGGAUAACCUACCUAUAAGACUGGGAUAACUUCGGGAAACCGGAGCUAAUACCGGAUAAUAUUUUGAACCGCAUGGUUCAAAAGUGAAAGACGGUCUUGCUGUCACUUAUAGAUGGAUCCGCGCUGCAUUAGCUAGUUGGUAAGGUAACGGCUUACCAAGGCAACGAUGCAUAGCCGACCUGAGAGGGUGAUCGGCCACACUGGAACUGAGACACGGUCCAGACUCCUACGGGAGGCAGCAGUAGGGAAUCUUCCGCAAUGGGCGAAAGCCUGACGGAGCAACGCCGCGUGAGUGAUGAAGGUCUUCGGAUCGUAAAACUCUGUUAUUAGGGAAGAACAUAUGUGUAAGUAACUGUGCACAUCUUGACGGUACCUAAUCAGAAAGCCACGGCUAGCUACGUG
rnacentral:rRNA from 1 species